rnacentral:rRNA from 1 species
UGGGGGAUAUUGCACAAUGGGCGAAAGCCUGAUGCAGCGACGCCGCGUGGGGGAUGAAGGCUUUCGGGUUGUAAACCUCUUUCGCUAUCGAACAAGGCCCGCUUAGGGUGGGUUGAGGGUAGGUGGAGAAGAAGCGCCGGCUAACUACGUGCCAGCAGCCGCGGUAAUACGUAGGGCGCGAGCGUCGUCCGGAAUUAUUGGGCGUGAAGGGCUUGUAGGCGGCUUGUUGCGCCUGCUGUGAAAACGCGGGGCUUAACUUGGGGCGUGCAGUGGGUACGGGCAGGCUUGAGUGUGGUAGGGGUGACUGGAAUUCCAGGUGUAGCGGUGGAAUGCGCAGAUAUCUGGAAGAACACCGAUGGCGAAGGCAGGUCACUGGGCCAUUACUGUAGCUGAGGAGCGAAAGCAUAAGUAGCGAACAGG